rnacentral:rRNA from 1 species
GACAGAGGGUGCAAACGUUGUUCGGAUUUACUGGGCGUAAAGCGUGUGUAGGCGGUCUCAUAAGUCGGGUGUGAAAGCCCAGGGCUCAACCCUGGAAGUGCACUCGAAACUGCGAGGCUUGAGUACCGGAGAGGUUGGUGGAAUUCUCGGUGUAGAGGUGAAAUUCGUAGAUAUCGAGAGGAACACCGGUGGCGAAGGCGGCCAACUGGACGAGUACUGACGCUGAGACACGAAAGCGUGGGGAGCAAACAGG